GCUAGCAUGGUGUAGUGGUUUGAAUGUUGGACUAGGACUCCAGGAGACCAGGGUUCAAAUCCCCAUGUGGCCA
rnacentral:tRNA from 1 species